GAUUAUGGCUCAGGAUGAACGCUGGCGGCGUGCUUAACACAUGCAAGUCGAACGAAGCAGUUUAUUACGAUCCUUUCGGGGUGACGAUUUACUGACUGAGUGGCGGACGGGUGAGUAACGCGUGGGUAACCUGCCUUGUACAGGGGGACAACAGUUGGAAACGACUGCUAAUACCGCAUAAGCGCACGAUAUCGCAUGGUAUAGUGUGAAAAGUUAUUUCGGUACAAGAUGGACCCGCGUCUGAUUAGCUAGUUGGUGAGGUAACGGCCCACCAAGGCAACGAUCAGUAGCCGACCUGAGAGGGUGACCGGCCACAUUGGGACUGAGACACGGCCCAAACUCCUACGGGAGGCAGCAGUGGGGAAUAUUGCACAAUGGGGGAAACCCUGAUGCAGCGAACCGCCGCGUGAGUGAUGAAGUAUUUCGGUACGUAAAGCUCUAUCAGCAGGGAAGAUAAUGACGGUACCUGACUAAGAAGCCCCGGCUAACUACGUGCCAGCAGCUGC
rnacentral:rRNA from 1 species